UUUUUUUUCCAAAAAAAACCAUAGCCCCCCCCAGAAAAUCAAAUGGUUGCUGCCUUAGCAAACAAAGGGGUAACUUCCAAGAGCAUGAUGAGGACCUCAUUACAAGAGAAAACACCAAUAGCAUAAUAUAAAAAAAAAACACAUAACAAAUUAAUUACAAACAAACCGUGCACCGCAACAAAGUUCCUAAGAAUUGUUGAAAAUUACAAACUUACCACAGCGCUAUAUAUCCAAAAAUCCUGUGGAGAACACUGCAGUUGUAUUACCUAGACACAUCUAAUUAUUUGGCCUUGCCCUUCUGUUGCAUUUGUUAAGUUUAGCUGGAUCAUAUCUAAAUUUAUCGCUUAAGUAAACAAAAUCAUUGUUAAAAUUAGGAGUAAGCUUACUUUCUAUUUGGACUUCUCUUGAACUGAAUUUUAAUGUGCGUAUUGUUAUGCGUUUACUUUUCUACAUUGGCUAGAGGUAUAGGAGGAGGGUUGAGAUCUCAUAAACAUGUUUAACCCUGCAGCAUUUUCGCGCCUGUCCCAAGUCAGGAGCCUCUGGCUUUUGUUAGUCUUGAAUUAUUUUAAUUUUAGUUUCUUGUGUAUAAUUUGGAGUUAAGUAUGGCGUUCAUUAUCAUUGAACUAGUAUAUAUAUGUUUAGGGGCUAGCUGAAGGACGCCUCCGGGUGCGGGAAUUUCUCGCUACAUUGAAGACCUGUUGGUGACCUUCUGCUGUUGUUUUUUCUAUGGUCGGG
rnacentral:lncRNA from 1 species